ACGGGAAACCUUUUAUUGAAGCUUCGGCAGAUUUAGCUGGUUUCUAGUGGCGGACGGGUGAGUAACGCGUGGGUAACCUGCCCUAUACAGGGGGAUAACAACCAGAAAUGGUUGCUAAUACCGCAUAAGCGCACAGGACCGCAUGGUCCGGUGUGAAAAACUCCGGUGGUAUAGGAUGGACCCGCGUUGGAUUAGCCAGUUGGCAGGGUAACGGCCUACCAAAGCGACGAUCCAUAGCCGGCCUGAGAGGGUGAACGGCCACAUUGGGACUGAGACACGGCCCAGACUCCUACGGGAGACAGCAGUGGGGAAUAUUGCACAAUGGGGGAGACCCUGAUGCAGCGACGCCGCGUGAAGGAAGAAGUAUCUCGGUAUGUAAACUUCUAUCAGCAGGGAAGAUAGUGACGGUACCUGACUAAGAAGCCCCGGCUAACUACGUGCCAGCAGCCGCGGUAAUACGUAGGGGGCAAGCGUUAUCCGGAUUUACUGGGUGUAAAGGGAGCGUAGACGGAUUAGCAAGUCUGAUGUGAAAGGCAGGGGCUCAACCCCUGGACUGCAUUGGAAACUGCCAGUCUUGAGUGCCGGAGAGGUAAGCGGAAUUCCUAGUGUAGCGGUGAAAUGCGUAGAUAUUAGGAGGAACACCAGUGGCGAAGGCGGCU
rnacentral:rRNA from 1 species